UGCCCACAUCAAAUUUGACUGCUGCUCUUC
rnacentral:piRNA from 1 species